GGGCCCAUAGCUCAGCUGGUUAGAGCGUCCGACUCAUAAUCGGCAGGUCGGAGGUUCAAGUCCUCCUGGGCCCACCA
rnacentral:tRNA from 1 species